rnacentral:rRNA from 1 species
GCUUAGAGUUUGAUCCUGGCUCAGGAUGAACGCUGGCGGCGUGUCUAAGGCAUGCAAGUCGAAUGUGAACUUUACCUUCGGGUAGAGCCGAACAUGGCAAACGGGAGAGUAACACAUUGGUAACUUUCCUCGGAGUCUCGCAUAACUCGAAGAAAUUCGUGAUAAUUCGAGAUAGUAAUGGGGGGUCAUAUGACAUUCCCAUUUAAAGUUUUUCGCUCCGAGAGAGGCCUAUGUCCUAUCAGCUUGUUGGUGAGGUAAUGGCUCACCAAGGCAUCGACAGGUAGCGGGUGUGAGAGCAUGACCCGUCUCACUGGGACUGAGACACUGCCCAGACUCCUACGGGAGGCUGCAGUCAAGAAUCUUCCACAAUGGCCGAAAGGCUGAUGGAGCGACGCCGCGUGUAUGAUGACGCCCCUCGGGGCGUAAAGUACUUUUAACUGUGACGAAACAAUGACGGUAGCAGUUGAAUAAGGGGCUGCUAACCUCGUGCCAGCAGCAGCGGUAAUACGAGGGCCCCAAGCGUUAUCCGGAUUUAUUGGGCGUAAAGGGUGUGUAGGCUGUUUGUUGCAUCUUUUGUUAAAUCUGCGGGCUCAACCCGUAGGCUGCGAAAGAAAUGGGCAAACUAGAGUUCGGGAGAGGUACAUGGAAUUGCUGGUGUAGGGGUUAAAUCCGUUAAUAUCAGCAGGAACACCAAAUGCGUAGGCAAUGUACUGGAACGACACUGACGCUGAAACACGAAAGCGUGGGGAGCGAAUGGGAUUAGAUACCCCAGUAGUCCACGCCGUAAACGAUGAAUGCUAAGCAUUGGAGGUAUCGACCCCUUCAGUGCUGUUUAUUUAAGUUAACACGUUAAGCAUUCCGCCUGGGGAGUACGGUCGCAAGGCUAAAACUCAAAGGAAUAGACGGGGACCCGCACAAGCGGUGGAGCAUGUGGUUUAAUUCGACGAUAAGCGAGGAACCUUACCAAGGUUUGACAUACGGCUGCAGACUUCUGGAAACAGAAGAGCCUUCGAGGGUGCCGUACAGAUGCUGCAUGGUUGUCGUCAGCUCGUGUCGUGAGAUGUACCGUUAAGUCGGGAAACGAGCGCAACCCUCACCCUAUGUUUUAUAUGUCAUAGGGAACUAUCCGCUAUAAGUGGGAGGAAGGUGGGGAUGACGUCAAAUCAGCAUGGUUCUUACACCUUGGGCGACACACGUGCUACAAUGGCCGGUACAACGGGACGCCAAAUCGUAAGAUGGAGCAAAUCCCACAAAACCGGUCCUAGUUCGGAUUGAGGUCUGAAACUCGACCUCAUGAAGCUGGAAUCGCUAGUAAACGCGCAUCAGCCACGGCGCGUUGAAUACGUUCUCGGGUCUUGUACUCACCGCCCGUCACGUCAAGGGAGUCGCUAACACCCGAAGGCCCAACCUAGUUGGGACGAAGGUGGGAGUGAUAACAGGGACGAAGUCGUAACAAGGUAACCAAGCC